GAUGAACGCUAGCGGCAGGCUUAAUACAUGCAAGUCGUGGGGCAGCACAGUAUAGCAAUAUAUGGGUGGCGACCGGCAAACGGGUGCGGAACACGUACGCAACCUUCCUACAGGCGGGGAAUAGCCCAGAGAAAUUUGGAUUAAUACCCCAUAAAAUUUUAGUAGAUGGCAUCAUCUUAUUAUUAAAGAUUUAUCACCUGAAGAUGGGCGUGCGGCUGAUUAGGUAGNGGUCGGGGUAACGGCCCACCAAGCCUACGAUCAGUAGCUGAUGUGAGAGCAUGAUCAGCCACACGGGCACUGAGACA
rnacentral:rRNA from 1 species